rnacentral:rRNA from 1 species
CGCAGCCGCGGUAAUUCCAGCUCCAAUAGCGUAUAUUAAAGUUGUUGCAGUUAAAAAGCUCGUAGUUGAAUUUCGGGGUUAGUAAGUUGGUCGUGCCACUGGUAUGUACUGGCUUUACUGAUUCCUCCUUCUUGUAGAACCGUAAUGCCAUUAAGUUGGUGUUGCGGGGAAACAGGACUGUUACUUUGAAAAAAUUAGAGUGUUUAAAGCAAGCUAACGCUUGAAUACAUUAGCAUGGAAUAAUGAAAUAGGACGUUCGAUCCUAUUUUGUUGGUUUCUAGGAUUGACGUAAUGAUUAAUAGGGAUAGUUGGGGGCAUUAGUAUUCAAUUGUCAGAGGUGAAAUUCUUGGAUUUAUUGAAGACUAACUACUGCGAAAGCAUUUGCCAAGGAUGUUUUCAUUAAUCAAGAACGAAAGUUAGGGGAUCGAAGACGAUCAGAUACCGUCGUAGUCUUAACCAUAAACUAUGCCGACUAGGGAUCGGAUGAUGUUAAUUUUAUAAUGACUCAUUCGGCGCCUUA